AACGCACGAGACCUGCGGACCUGCGGAAGGAUCAUUACCGAGUGAGGGCCCUCUGGGUCCAACCUCCCACCCGUGUUUAUCGUACCUUGUUGCUUCGGCGGGCCCGCCUCACGGCCGCCGGGGGGCACCUGCCCCCGGGCCCGCGCCCGCCGAAGGCAUCAUUGAACUCUGUCUGAAGAUUGCAGUCUGAGUAGAUUAGCUAAAUCAGUUAAAACUUUCAACAACGGAUCUCUAGAUCGG
rnacentral:misc_RNA from 1 species